UCAGCAAUCAUCAAUCAUCAACAAUCAUCAACAAUCAUCAAUCAUCAUCAAUCAUCAAUCAUCAACAAUCAACAAUCAUCAACAAUCAUCAUCAACAAUCAUCAACAAUCAUCAACACAGAAGACUUGUAGGAUCAGAUGUGUGGGGUUUUUCCCCAAGCCCAGUAGCUUAGACAUCAGCUGGGAUGUCUAAGUCAGUUCUGAUGCUGUCUACCCAGAGACAGUCCUAGAUCCCACAGAUUGAAGGCUCAGUCCCCAAGACUGCCCUCCACACUGUUGCCAAAUCCAGACCUGCAACCGACUUCAAGUUGGGGAUCCCAUGACCCCCUCUUUGGGUUUAAUUUGCUGUAGCAGCUCACAGAACUCAGGGAGACAUGGACAUUUCCUGGUUGAAUACAAAGCACACUGCAGAGGACACAGAUAAAGAGACACAUAGGAGGAGGCAUGGGGAAAGGAGCACGGGACUUCCAUGCCCUCCCUGGGUGCCACCCUCCAGGAACCACUGCAUGCUCAGCCAUCCAGAAACUCAUGAAACCCAGUCCUCUUGGGCUUUUAUGGAAGCUUCAUGAUGUCAGCAUUUCCUCCCACAAGGAACAGGGGAUCAAACUAUGGCAUUUGUGAGAAGCAAGACCUGCGUGUAUGAACAGCAAACUUUUCCUAUAUGCAGGUCAAGCAGAGACAACAUUGAGGCUGGAGUACGGUCAGAUUUGGGUACAUGUAGAGGGAACUGAAACGAAUUGCCUGUACAUCCCAAAAAACAACUGUACUGAGAGAUAAUAUUCUCUAGGAUUUUUUGUUUGUUUGGUUGGUUGGUUGGUUAAAGCUUUGUGUAGAACACCCAGUGCCUCCUUGUCCAUCUCAGGAACAUACUGCUAUGUGGAAGCACAUCCUUGAGAUGCACAAGCAGACGCUGGGCAAGGAGACAAGAACAUCUCACUAUACAGAAGUCUCCCUAAUAAAUGCUCUAUGCACACCCUGGUGUUCAGUGCUUCUUUCUUUGGAAUCCCAGCAGCUCUAUCACUGGAGAGUAUGGUGCACUCCCUUGAGGGAACUCCUCUGGGCUGCUUGGGGUCCACUUGAGCCUCAGGUGUGGCUGGAAGACGCAGCCUCCCACCUUCAUCUGGAGCCCAGAGCCCCUCUCUGUCAUUGCAGAUCCCCAGGUUCCUCUCCCGGUUCCACUCAGUGGUGGAAACCUCCACCCUAAUGACCCCUUGAUGGUCCCGCCACCCUGUGGCAUCUCAUCUCUGGCCUCUGUUCUUUCUUGUGGAUCCGUCUACCCUUGGGAACUUCCAUACCUCUUUUUCUGCUCAUGAUCUUGAUUCUCUGGUAUUUCAGAAAUGCCUGAUGUACACUUCUCCAUUAGGGUCAGGGGCGACAUCAUGAGUACAUGCAUCAACCAACCAACACCAAGAUCCUCUCAUGUCCCAAACACCUCAGAUCUUACCUUGGUCUGAAAAUGAAGCACAAAUGAGCCCCUCCCAAUGUCCCAGGCACCACUGACCCCACAACCACGGUGAUGAGUGGGAUUUGUGAAAACAGUCCACAAAGGAAAAGACUGAGGCUCAGAGAUGGUUCAUUACCGCCCGAGGUCACACAGGCAGUGGAUGAUAACCGAUCAUUGAAUAAAUAUCAGCUCCCUCCCCCACUCACCAAAUCAAAGCUCAAACAUAAGUCAUUGUUCCAGAAAUGUUGAGCAGGAAUGGAGGUGCAGAGGGACGGCCAAGGGCACAGGGGCACUAAAGAGGAAGGAAAGACUCAGAGGUUUGUUCCAGCUGGGUGGGGCUCGACGCUGUAGCAAAAAAGUUUUAAAAAGGGGAAGUUGAGAAGGGGACUAUUUGGUUGCAAGAAAAUUCACAAUCCAGUGCCAAGAAAGAAGUCAACUUUUCUUCCCCUAUUUCCCUGCAUUUCUCCUCUGUGCUCACUGUCACAUGCAGUUCAGCCUGGACGGCACAGCCAGAUGUGAGAUGCGUCUCUGCUGAUCUGAGUCUGCCUGCAGCAUGGAACUGUGUCUUCCCUGAAGCAUCUCCAGGGCUGGAGAGACGACUGCCAUGCACUGAGGGCUCAUCCAUCUGCAGAGCAGGGCAGUGGGAGGAGACGCCAUGACUGCCAUCCUCGUGCUCCUGAUCUGUCUCGGUGAGAUUUGAAGAG